AUAAUCACUUGCCUUAUAAUUGAAGGCUUGUAUGAACGGUUUGACAAGAAUAAAGCUGUCUCUUUUUAAAUUCACAAAAUUUAAUUUUUAGGUGAAGAAGCCUAAAUAAAAUUGAAAGACAAGAAGACCCUAUCGAGCUUAAAACUUCUUUAUUAAAUAAUAGUAAAAUUAAAAUUUAAUAAAAAUUUUUAGUUGGGGCGACUGAGGAACAAAAAAGCUUCCUUUAAUCAAUUUUAAGCACAUAAGUUUUGAUCCAAAAUUUUUGAUUAAAAAACUUAGUUACCGUAGGGAUAACAGCAUAAUUUUUCUUGAGAGUUCAUAUCGAAAGAAAAGUUUGU
rnacentral:rRNA from 1 species